CUCCCGGUUAAUCCCGCGGGACCCGACUGCUAUCGGAUUGAGAUUUAGCCAUGCGAGUCGAACGUUCCCCUGUUGCGGGGAGCGUGGCGUACGGCUCAGUAACACGUAGUCAACCUGCCCUGGAGACAAGGACAACCCCGGGAAACUGGGAUUAAUCCUUGAUAGGUCAUCUCAUCUGGAAGGAGAGAUGGCUUAAAGGGGUACGCGGGCUUCUUCCGCGAAUUCGCUCCAGGAUGGGACUGCGUCCGAUCAGGCUGUUGGCGGGGUAAUGGCCCACCAAACCUGUAACCGGUACGGGCCUUGAGAGAGGUGGCCCGGAGAUGGACACUGAGAGAAGGGUCCAGGUCCUACGGGGCGCAGCAGGCGCGAAACCUUCGCAAUGCGCGAAAGCGUGACGAGGUUAAUCCGAGUGACUCCCGCUGAGGGGGUCUUUUGUCAGCUGUAAAUAGGCAGGCGAAUAAGGGGAGGGCAAGCCUGGUGUCAGCCGCCGCGGUAAUACCAGCUCCUCGAGUGGUCGGGGCGAUUAUUGGGCCUAAAGCAUCCGUAGCCGGUUCCGUAGGUCCUCUGUUAAAUCCAACCGCUCAACGGUUGACCUGCAGAGGAUACCGCGGGACUAGGAGGCGGGAGAGGCGGACGGUACUCCGCGUGUAGGGGUAAAAUCCUUUGAUCCGCGGAAGACCACCAGUGGCGAAGGCGGUCCGCCAGAACGCGCUCGACGGUGAGGGAUGAAAGCUGGGGGAGCGAACCGGAUUAGAUACCCGGGUAGUCCCAGCCGUAAACGAUGCUAGCUAGAUGAUUCAUUCGCAAGUCGCGAAUGAAGUGUCGCAGGGAAGCCGUUAAGCUAGCCGCCUGGGGAGUACGGUCGCAAGACUGAAACUUAAAGGAAUUGGCGGGGGAGCA
rnacentral:rRNA from 1 species